AUCACUUCUCAGCCUUUUGGCUAAGAUCAAGUGUAGGAGGUCUUUAACCUUUGUCCAAUGUCGGUGGACGCUAUUUGAGAAAACAAAAGCCCUUUGGCAACUUUCUGCUCUUCCUUCCUUGGCAGGUCAAAGAGCAUCAACACCAAGAAAUUCAGAGCUAGUGUUUCUCCAGUGUCACCUGCU